UUUAGCUUGUUUGAGCUAUAAGCUCAAGUGGGCUUUUCUGAUCACCCAUUGUCUGUUGUACACCUGUCUCAGUCUGUAAACUUAUUUUCAACUUCUCUAUAAUCACAUAGCUCAAUUUCAACCAAACUUAGUACCGUUAAAGGGACUGGUUCACGAUUUUUGAUAAAGAUAAUUUUCCUUUUUUAUGGUAAACAUUAAAAAUAUAACUAAUUUAAUGCUGACAGCCAAAAUUUUGACUUUCUGAAUGCAAGAAUAAAAGCAAUAUUUUAGCCUUAAAUCUGUGUUAUGUAAACAAAGACUCGAGUCUUUGUAAUAUAAAACAUCUUAAUUUUGCAUAAUCUCAAAUUUGAACUUCUAGAUGAUACAUUUUGCCCCCAAAAUGCUUGAAAUGUGAAAGAUAUAAUAAACUUAGAUCGAUAUCCAUUUCUUUUAAAAAAUUUCGUAAACAAUAACAUACCGCAAUCUCUGUUAACAAAACAAAUAAUAAACUCUCUAAAAUGAGCUUCUGUGAUAAUGUCUAACCUUAAUAUUUAUGUGAAAUCUUUUAAACACAUUAGACAGUACUGUAGAUUUUUAUCAUUAAAAGUGAAAGAAAAUUUUAGGGGAAAUCGUGAAUCAGUCCCUUUAAAAGAUUAAAUUCGUUAAAUUAAAGACCUUCAAAUGUUAGAUAAUCAACAAAUGAACAAAUAUAGCAUUGGGUCAUUUAAGAAUCGUCUCCAUAACUACUGAGCUAGAAAUGAUGAACCCUCUAUAAGUCAUGUGAAACCUUCCUGACAUAUUGUAAAUUGUUUGAAGUCUGGCUCCAGGGGAUAGGAUUUAUAGGGUCAUCGGUGCCUGGAAAGGACAAACACAAUAGGCCACUGACUCCAUUUAUGGUAAAACGGUGGGGACAUUCCGAAAUUUCUUGGGCUGAAUUAAUGUACAUUGGGGCCAUUUUUAUUUUUUUUUACCGAAAUUUGUCCAUUUUCCUUCAUCGUUGUUGUAGGGGUCAUCAUAAACUUUUCACAUUUUCAUCUUCUUCUCCAGAGCCAGUGGUCCAAUUUCAACAAAGCUUGGCACAAAGCAUUCUUGGGUAAAGGCAAUUCAAAUUUGUUCAAAUGAAGGGCCACACCCUUCUCCAAGGAGAUAAUAGUGAAACUAUAUUAACAUUUAUAAAAAAUCUUCUCCAGAACCACUGGGUCAAUUUCAACCAAACCUCUCAAAAAGGGAUUCAAGUUUGUGCAAAUGAAAGGUCAUGCCCCUUUCCAAGGGGGUUAAUAGCGAAAUAGUGAAAAUACAUUGUUGACUUGAAAAUCUUCUCCAGAAACAAUUGGCCAAUUUCAGCCAAUCAUGGCACAAAGCAUCCUUGGGUAAAGGGGAUUCAAGUUUGUUCAAAUGAAGGGCCAUACCCCCUUCAAAUGGAUGAUAAUCACAAAAAUCCAAAAAAUAGGGUGGGGUUGUUUAAAAAUUGUCUUGUCAGGAACCACUGGGCCAGAAGAACUGAAAUUUACGUGAAAGAUUCCUGACAUAGUACAAAUUUAAGUUUGUUAAAGCAUGACCCCCGGGGUUCAUUACGGCCACAAUGUGGGAUCAAACUUUUAUAAUCAAAUGUAUUGGUAAAAUCUUUAAAAUCUUCUCAAGAACCGCUGUGCCAGAAAAAUACAAAUUUACAUGAAAGCUUCCUGAUAUAGUGCAGAUUCAAGGUUGUUAAAAUUAUGGUGCCCGAGCGAAGGAUAGGACCAUAAUAGGGGAUCAAAGUUUUACAUAUCAAUACAUGUAUCGGGAAAAUCUUUUAAAAUUCGUCUUCUGAAAAAUCACUGAGCCAAAAAAGUUUGCAUUUACCAGAAAACUUCUUGACAUAGUGCAAAUUCAAUUUUUUUUUAAAUAUGCCCCCAGGAAAGGUUGAGUCAAAAUAAGGGAUCAAAGUUUCAUAUACAAAUAUAAAGGGAAAAUCUUUUAAAAAUUUCUUCUCAAUAACCACUGGGUCAAAGAAGUUUACAUUUACUCAAAAGCUUCCUGACACAGUGCAGAUUGAGGUUUACAAAAUUCAUGGACCCUGGAGGUAGGAUGGGGCCAGAAUAGGGAUCAAAGUUUUACAUGUGAACAUAUGGGGAAAAUCCUUAUAACCUUAGGAUAGGAGAACUAUUUUCUGAACUUUACAUUGAGACAUGAGGGGGUGGAGAACUAUUGAAAUUUUCUUAAAUUUACGCUGGGAGGUGAGGGGCUGGAGAACUAUUUUCUGAACUUUACGUUGGGUGGUGAGGGGUGGAGAACUAUUUUCUGAACUUUACGUUGGGAGGUGAGGGAUGGAGAACUAUUGAACUUUACAUUGGGAGGUGAGGGAUGGAGAACUAUUGAACUUUACGUUGGGAGGUGAGGGAUGGAGAACUAUUGAGCUUUACGUUGGGAGGUGAGGGAUGGAGAACUGUUUUCAGAACUUUAUGUUGUGAGGUGACAGGAAUGAGAAUUAUUUUCAGAACUUUAUGUUGUGAGGUGACAGGGAUGAGAAUUAUUUUCAGAACUUUAUGUAGUGAGGUGAUAGGGAUGAGAAUUAUUUUCUGAACUUUACGUUGAGACAAGAGGGGAUGGAGAACUAUUUUCUGAACUUUACGCUGGGAGGUGAGGGGUGAGAAACUUUUCAUUGAUGUUGUAUAGGACUUGAAGUAUACAGAGAUUAGAUAUUGUGUUAUGAGUGUUUUUAAAUUGAGGUUUGUUAUCAAUGUGGUACAUUUAGAAUGAUUACCGUACAUGGAUUUUUUGUAGACAUUAGUGUUCUAAUAGCAUAAUAUAAUGGUGGGAAGAAAUCACUUUGGUUACCUAGUACUUAAUGUUGAAAUCAAUUUUACAGGGUAGCAGUUACUUGAGAUGUCUGGCUGAUUGAUGAGGAUAAUUUCCCUGAGACUCUAACAUUUUGUUGGACUUAGAUAGCUCUAUUGCUGUAGAAAAUGUCAGGACGGUGGAGAUUUAGAUAAGUGGUGUGAUGUUAUUGAUGGUAAACAGAAGACUGUGACCUUGAAUCUGAAGAUCUGUGAUGAAGACUGGACGUUUGGGGUCACUCUCUGUUACAGUACUACAAAUCUAAAAUGAGUUGAGUGGAAUAAUGAACCUCCAGAUGUCCAUGUACACGUGUAUGAAUAAAUUGAUGUACUCGCACAUGCGAGCUUAUC